GGGAGUAAGGUUAAUACCUUUGCUCCUUGACGUUACCCGAACAAGAAGGCCCGGGUAACUUCGUGGCAGCCGCCGGGGUAAUUCGGAGGGUGCAAGGGUUUGUCGGAAUUACUGGGCGUAAAGGGCCUCCCAGGCGGUUGCUUAGUCCUAUGUGAAAUCCCCGGGCUCAACCUGGGAACUGCCUUUGAUACUGGCAAGCUUGAGUCUCGGAAAAGGAGAGUGAAUUUCCGGGGUAGGGGUGAAAUGGGUAAAGAUUUGGAGGAAUCCCGGUGGGGAAAGGGGACCCUUGGACCAGUACUGAAGCUUAAGUGCCAAAGCCUGGGGAGCAAAACGGAUUAAAUACCCUGGUAGUCCACGCCGUAAAACAUGGAGACUUGAAGGUUGGGCCCUUGCCGCCCGUUAUCCGUAGCUAAAAC
rnacentral:rRNA from 1 species